rnacentral:rRNA from 1 species
GUGGGGAAUAUUGGGCAAUGGGGGAAACCCUGACCCAGCAACGCCGCGUGAAGGAAGAAGGUUUUCGGAUCGUAAACUUCUAUCCUUGGUGAAGAUAAUGACGGUAGCCAAGAAGGAAGCCCCGGCUAACUACGUGCCAGCAGCCGCGGUAAUACGUAGGGGGCAAGCGUUGUCCGGAAUGAUUGGGCGUAAAGGGCGCGUAGGCGGCCUGGUAAGUCUGGAGUGAAAGUCCUGCUUUUAAGGUGGGAAUUGCUUUGGAUACUGUCGGGCUUGAGUGCAGGAGAGGUAAGGGGAAUUCCCGGUGUAGCGGUGAAAUGCGUAGAGAUCGGGAGGAACACCAGUGGCGAAGGCGGCUUACUGGACUGUAACUGACGCUGAGGCGCGAAAGUGUGGGGAGCAAACAGGAUUAGAUACCCUGGUAGUCC